GGAAGUUUGAAUAGACUUCGUUUUAUGUACGUGUAAAAUCCACUUCUCCUCCUUGAGCAACGUCGUGAACUCAAAGAAGAUCUAUAUUAGAAAAGUGAGAAAAAGACUGUUAGUGUCACAGGGCGACGAUACAAAGUCAUUCGCCUGUCAAAGAUCAUGAUAUCAACCUAUCCGCGUAUGUAUCUAUCUAUGUACAGACACAGACAUGUACUAUUACGAGCGUGGCAGUGGGUUUAUGGUAUCCGAUAAAAUACCGGAAAUCCCCGUACAUUUCGAAGGCAAGCCACGUUGUUUACGAGCCACCGAAUUAACGCCGGCAGUCAGACUUCCCGCUGGCAUAAAUCUACACCAACUGAUGAUCGUUCGAUUCAUUCCACGGUGAAAUUUCAACGGUAUCAACGAGCCUCGAGGUACGAACGCUGAGAAACUGCAUCAUUAUGCGUUAUUACGAGAUAUCGGCGUGUUCAGUUACCUCGAAGUCAACGACCAACUCUAGAUGUUCACGUUGUCUAUUUCGACUGAUGUCUUCGACCAUGAAGAUCUAGUCUAUUUUCUAUUAUCGUCAAACGAUCCGUUUUGUUGUUUACAUAAUUUUAUGCCAACUUGUAUAUCUUAAAUUACUAAUCGGACGAUUAUUUUGAAAACAAUUUAUAUCUUCUUGCAACUAAGUAUGCCUAUGCUUGUUAGCAUGAGAACGUAAAUAGGAGACCGACGAAUCCUCUGGUAUCGGUGAGAUAAGCUGGAAACAUGGCUGGUGAAACGAUCGUUGAUGGCUACUGUUGCCCAUCGGACCAUCGGUUUAUCCGACCUGUCGCAAAUCGAUUUCAUUUUAUUUUUCAACGGCCGACACGUGUCAUCGUCGCUUUGUCACGGGCUCCUGUAUUAAUAUUUACAUUAUCAACGCGUCAAUUAUCGACACGUUCGCCGUUCGAUUCUCUCUCCUGCCGAAUGUUACAUAAAUGGUAGAACGCAACGUUUGCGUGUACUAUGAACGGUGAGUGUGUACGUUGCAUACGCGUAGUUUGAACAGAACAAAUAACCUGCGAUCGACUGCCUUUAGUAAUCGCAGCCUGUUCUUGUUCAAGGUAUUCAUAGUUACAAUUAGUCAUCAACGCGAAAUCGUUUGUAAUUCGAGGAACAAUGAGAGAAUCUAUUCGUCAUAUUUCAGACAGCCUUCGUUCAGUUUUCUGCGACAGCAACAAUGACUAUUAUGCAAUUAUUCACGAAAUUCUAUGUCGCGAAGGAUGCUCGUAACGAUUAUUACAACCGUUCGCAUGGUUGUUAAGCUUCGCACGAGAUUAACGACGCUACCGAAGUGAUCAGCGUGAUAAAUGAUUUCUGACGAUGUACUAUACCUUUAUGAACCUUCUGUCUCAUCCCGUCAUAGCUAGACUGUAGAUUUUUAUACGAAAUAAAAUGUUUAUCCUGUCAUUUUAAAAAA